rnacentral:rRNA from 1 species
AUUGAACGCUGGCGGAAUGCUUUACACAUGCAAGUCGAACGGUAGAGGGGGCAACCCCUUGAGAGUGGCGAACGGGUGAGUAAUAUAUCGGAACGUGCCCAGUCGUGGGGAUAACGUAGCGAAAGUUACGCUAAUACCGCAUACGAUCUAAGGAUGAAAGCGGGGGACUCGCAAGAGCCUCGUGCGAUUGGAGCGGCCGAUAUCAGAUUAGGUAGUUGGUGGGGUAAAGGCUCACCAAGCCAACGAUCUGUAGCUGGUCUGAGAGGACGACCAGCCACACUGGAACUGAGACACGGUCCAGACUCCUACGGGAGGCAGCAGUGGGGGAAUUUUGGACAAUGGACGCAAGUCUGAUCCAGCCAUUCCGCGUGCAGGAUGAAGGCCCUCGGGUUGUAAACUG